AAGGACUUAGGUUAAACCACCAAAACCAGGGGCCUUCAAAGCCCCAAACAGGAGAUAAAAACUCUUAGUCCUUG
rnacentral:tRNA from 1 species